rnacentral:rRNA from 1 species
CCUACGGGAGGCAGCAGCUAAGAAUCUUCCGCAAUGGGCGAAAGCCUGACGGAGCGACAUCGCGUGGAUGAAGAAGGCCGAGAGGUUGUAAAAUCCUUUUAUGUAAGAGGAAUAAGCCAGAGAGUGGAACGUUUUGGUGAUGACGUUAUUACAUGAAUAAGCUCCGGCUAAUUACGUGCCAGCAGCCGCGGUAAUACGUAAGGAGCGAGCGUUGUUCGGAAUUAUUGGGCGUAAAGGGCGCGUAGGCGGUUGCAAAAGUCUGUAGCUAAAGAUCCGGGCUUAACUCGGAGAAAGUUAUAGAAACUGUGCGACUAGAAUCCUUCAGGGGAAACUGGAAUUUCUGGUGUAGGGGUGGAAUCUGUUGAGAUCAGAAAGAACACCAAAGGCGAAGGCAAGUUUCUGGGGAUGAUUGACGCUGAGGCGCGAAAGUAUAGGGAGCAAACAGGAUUAGAUACCCUGGUAGUCUAUACCGUAAACUAUGUACACUAGGUAUUGGAUCGUCGAUGGUUCAGUACUCAAGCUAACGCGAUAAGUGUACCGCCUGGGGAAUNGCGNAAGUNAACNAANGAUGNGNGNGNGAGNGCGAGACGACGACGAGGAGAGG